rnacentral:rRNA from 1 species
UACAGAGGGGGCGAGCGUUGUUCGGAAUCACUGGGUGUAAAGGGUGCGUAGGCUGUCGGUUAAGUCUGAUGUGAAAUCCCUCGGCUCAACUGGGGAACUGCAUUGGAAACUAGCUGACUGGAGUACCGGAGAGGGAAGCGGAAUUCCUGGUGUAGCGGUGAAAUGCGUAGAUAUAGGAAGGAACACCAGUGGCGAAGGCGACCACCUGGACUGAUACUGACACUGAGGAGCGAAAGCGUGGGGAGCGAACAGG